rnacentral:rRNA from 1 species
GAACGCUGGCGGCAUGCCUUACACAUGCAAGUCGAACGACGCUAGGGGCAACUCUAGCGAGUGGCGUACGGGUGAGUAAUGCAUCGGAACGUGCCCUCUCGUGGGGGAUAACCAGUCGAAAGAUUGGCUAAUACCGCAUGAGCUCGAGAGAGGAAAGCAGGGGAUCCGCAAGGACCUCGCGCGAGAGGAGCGGCCGAUGCCCGAUUAGCUAGUUGGUGGGGUAAAAGCCCACCAAGGCGACGAUCGGUAGCUGGUCUGAGAGGACGACCAGCCACACUGGGACUGAGACACGGCCCAGACUCCUACGGGAGGCAGCAGUGGGGAAUUUUGGACAAUGGGGGCAACCCUGAUCCAGCCAUGCCGCGUGUGUGAAGAAGGCCUUCGGGUUGUAAAGCACUUUCGGACGGAACGAAAUCGCGCGGGUGAACAAUCCGCGUGGAUGACGGUACCGUAAGAAGAAGCACCGGCUAACUACGUGCCAGCCGCCGCUGUAA